UACGAGGGGAGCCUAGCGUUGCUCGGAAUCACUGGGCGUAAAGGUGCGUAGGCGGCCGUCGUUAGGCACGACGUGAAAGCCCCGGGCUCAACCCGGGAGGGUCGUCGUGAACCGGCGGGCUUGAGGCCGGUAGAGGUGGGUGGAACUCCUGGUGGAGUGGUGAAAUGCGUAGAGAUCAGGAAGAACACCCGUGGCGAAGGCGGCCCACUGGGCCGGUACUGACGCUGAGGCGCGAAGGCGUGGGGAGCGAACGGG
rnacentral:rRNA from 1 species